CUCAUAAAGCUCCGUCCAAUCGAUUUCCACCUCCUUCCUCUUUUCGCAUCACUGGCCGCUACUGUUAACAACCGAAUCCUCCGUCCGAUCCUCUCCACCGCCAGCUUCUACUCUCACCAUCAUCAACACCAUCCCCUGUUUCUCUACUCAUACGUCGGACAAACGCCACCCAAACAUCAUACUCCCUCCGCUGAGUUUCGUAACUAUCCUCAUCAACAAUCUUUCGCCAUCCACUAUUUUUCUCUCAUUCACUAUCUUCAUACGAUCCAUCACCUUCAUCAAUUUCUCACCAACAAACCUUCCAGCUUAAUCGCUCAACAUUCCACCUUCAGCAAACUCAGAUCCUUUCCGUUGCAACUCCAUCCGCACAGCUCUAGCUUCGAAGAUCGCCCUUCGUCCAGAUUUCCACCGCCAAUACAUUCUCUCUGUUCGUCGCAGAUCCUGCAGAACUCUCUCUCGGCGCAUACGUAUCGAUUUCUGUUAUCUUGCGGUGACACUGAUUCCAACAGUAUCUUAGUUCCAGGCGUUUCAAUCACAAUCGCAGCUUCAGCAUCACGUUCGCGUCGAUUUCGACAUCUCGGUAACGUUCGCGUCGACUUCGACAUCUCGCUUUCGCGAAGUUUUUCGAGUUUCUUACGCGUUGCUAUACAAUGGAGGAUUGUUAUUCGUUCGGUACUUUCUCAUUUACCUUAUUUUUGCAUUGUGUUUCAAUUUCCUUGCCAUGAGAAGUAG